rnacentral:rRNA from 1 species
GACGAACGCUGGCGGCGUGCUUAACACAUGCAAGUCGAACGGAAAGGCCCUGCUUUUGUGGGGUGCUCGAGUGGCGAACGGGUGAGUAACACGUGAGUAACCUGCCCUUGACUUUGGGAUAACUUCAGGAAACUGGGGCUAAUACCGGAUAGGAGCUCCUGCUGCAUGGUGGGGGAUGGAAAGUUUCGGCGGUUGGGGAUGGACUCGCGGCUUAUCCGCUUGUUGGUGGGGUAGUGGCUUACCAAGGCUUUGACGGGUAGCCGGCCUGAGAGGGUGACCGGCCACAUUGGGACUGAGAUACGGCCCAGACUCCUACCGGAGGCAGCAGUGGGGAAUAUUGCACAAUGGGCGGAAGCCUGAUGCAGCAAUGCCGCGUGCGGGAUGACGGCCUUCGGGGUGUAAACCGCUUUCGCCUGUGACGAAGCGUGAGUGACGGUAAUGGGUAAAGAAGCAACGGCUAACUACGUG